GGGGGCCCGCAAGCGGUGGAGCAUGUGGUUCAAUUCGAAGCAACGCGAAGAACCUUACCAGCCCUUGACAUCCCGGUCGCGGAGACCAGAGACGGACUCCUUCAGUUCGGCUGGACCGGAGACAGGUGCUGCAUGGCUGUCGUCAGCUCGUGUCGUGAGAUGUUGGGUUAAGUCCCGCAACGAGCGCAACCCUCGGCCUUAGUUGCCAUCAUUUAGUUGGGCACUCUAAGGCGACUGCCGGUGAUAAGCCGGAGGAAGGUGGGGAUGACGUCAAGUCCUCAUGGCCCUUACGGGCUGGGCUACACACGUGCUACAAUGGCGGUGACAGAGGGACGCAAAAGGGCAACCUUUCGCAGAUCUCAAAAAGCCGUCUCAGUUCGGAUUGGGGUCUGCAACUCGACCCCAUGAAGUUGGAAUCGCUAGUAAUCGCAGAUCAGCACGCUGCGGUGAAUACGUUCCCGGGCCUUGUACACACC
rnacentral:rRNA from 1 species